CUUUUUCAUACAGUGACUUCUUUUCCUUUGAGUAGAUAGUAGUGGGAUUGCUGGAUGAAAUAGUAGAUCUGCUUUUAGUUAUUUGAGAAAUCUCCAUACUGUUUUCCACAGAGGCUGUACUGAUACUGAUUUACAUUCCUACCAGCAGUGUAUGGAGUUUUGCUCUGUCGCCCAGGCUGGAGUACAAUGGUUCCAUCUCUGCUCGCCUCGACCUCUGCUUCCUGGGUUCAAGCAAUUCUCCUGCCUCAGCCUCCCAAGUAGCUGGGAUUACAGACUAUGCAUGGAAAACAGAGUCCUGUGUUGCCAACAUUGGGAAAAUGUUCCUUCCGAGAGUCUCGCUCUGUUGCCCAGGCUGGAGUGCAGUGGCGAGAUCUCGGCUCACUGCAAGCUCCACCUCCUGGGUUCACGCCAUUCUCCUGCCUCAGCCUCCCGAGUAGCUGGGACUACAGGCGCCCGCCACCACGCCUGGAUAAUUUUUUGUAUUUUUAGUAGAGCCGAGGUUUCACCGUGUUAGCGAGGAUGGUCUCGAUCUCCUGACCUCGUGAUCUGCCUGCCUUGGCCUCCCAAAGUGCUGGGAUUACAGGCGUGAGCCACCGCGCCUGGCCCUUACCAUUAUUUUUAAAAUAAAGAACAUUUUAUUUUUUCAUUGCUCUCAUAAAUUAAUACGAAACUAAUCAUUGAAAUGUUUUAAAAUGCAUUUUCAUAUCUCUGUGGUACAUAAUGUG
rnacentral:lncRNA from 1 species